UACGUAUGGUGCGAGCGUUAUCCGGAUUUACUGGGCGUAAAGGGAGCGCAGGCGGCGCGCCAAGUCUGAUGUGAAACCCCGGGGCUCAACCCCGGGCAUGCAUUGGAAACUGGCGGGCUGGAGUGCCGGAGAGGUAAGCGGAAUUCCUAGUGUAGCGGUGAAAUGCGUAGAUAUUAGGAGGAACACCAGUGGCGGAGGCAGCUUACUGGACGGCAACUGACGCUGAGGCUCGAAAGCGUGGGGAGCAAACAGG
rnacentral:rRNA from 1 species